rnacentral:rRNA from 1 species
UACGCAGGGGGCUAGCGUUGCUCGGAAUCACUGGGCGUAAAGGGUGCGUAGGCGGGGCUUUAAGUCAGGGGUGAAAUCCUGGAGCUCAACUCCAGAACUGCCUUUGAUACUGGCGAUCUCGAGUUCGGGAGAGGUGAGUGGAACUGCGAGUGUAGAGGUGAAAUUCGUAGAUAUUCGCAAGAACACCAGUGGCGAAGGCGGCUCACUGGCCCGGUACUGACGCUGAGGUGCGAAAGCGUGGGGAGCAAACAGG